rnacentral:rRNA from 1 species
GCAACGCCGCGUGAGGGAUGAAGGCCUCUGGGCUGUAAACCUCUUUUAUCAAGGAAGAAGAUCUGACGGUACUUGAUGAAUAAGCCACGGCUAAUUCCGUGCCAGCAGCCGCGGUAAUAUGGGAGUGGCAAGCGUUAUCCGGAAUUAUUGGGCGUAAAGCGUCCGCAGGCGGCCCAACAAGUCUGCUGUUAAAAAGUGGAGCUUAACUCCAUCAUGGCAGUGGAAACUGUUGGGCUCGAGUGUGGUAGGGGCAGAGGGAAUUCCCGGUGUAGCGGUGAAAUGCGUAGAUAUCGGGAAGAACACCAGUGGCGAAGGCGCUCUGCUGGGCCAUCACUGACGCUCAUGGACGAAAGCCAGGGGAGCGAAAGGGAUUAGAUACCCCUGUAGUCCUGGCCGUAAACGAUGAACACUAGGUGUCGGGGGAAUCGACCCCUCCGGUGUCGUAGCCAACGCGUUAAGUGUUCCGCCUGGGGAGUACGCACGCAAGUGUGAAACUCAAAGGAAUUGACGGGGGCCCGCACAAGCGAUGGAGUAUGUGGUUUAAUUCGAUGCAACGCGAAGAACCUUACCAGGGUUUGACAUCCUGCGAAUCUCUUGGAAACUU